AUUGAACGCUGGCGGCAGGCCUAACACAUGCAAGUCGAGCGGUUGAAGGGAGCUUGCUCCCUGAUUCAGCGGCGGACGGGUGAGUAAUGCCUAGGAAUCUGCCUAUUAGUGGGGGACAACGUUUCGAAAGGAACGCUAAUACCGCAUACGUCCUACGGGAGAAAGCAGGGGACCUUCGGGCCUUGCGCUAAUAGAUGAGCCUAGGUCGGAUUAGCUAGUUGGUGAGGUAAUGGCUCACCAAGGCGACGAUCCGUAACUGGUCUGAGAGGAUGAGCAGUCACACUGGAACUUAGACACGGUCCAGACUCCUACGGGAGGCAGCAGUGGGGAAUAUUGGACAAUGGGCGAAAGCCUGAUCCAGCCAUGCCGCGUGUGUGAAGAAGGUCUUCGGAUUGUAAAGCACUUUAAGUUGGGAGGAAGGGCAGUAAGUUAAUACCUUGCUGUUUUGACGUUACCGACAGAAUAAGCACCGGCUAACUCUGUGCCAGCCGCCGCCGUAAGAC
rnacentral:rRNA from 1 species